rnacentral:lncRNA from 1 species
UAGCACAAAAAAAACUUUUUUAUAAUGCUGAGCUUGUUUAUCGUAAAAUCUUUUUUUGUGCAUAUAGAAAAAUAUUAGAAGAGAUUUUUUACACUGUUAAAAAAAUGAAUAGUAUAAAAAGUUCAUCACUUUUAAAAAAAAAAAAUUUGUCAUUAUUUACCAUCAUUCAUGCUAAUUUAAUAUAUUGUAAAUAUAAAAUCACAAAAGAAAACAUAAAACAACAUAAUAAAUUAAAUAAUGCACCAACAGAGGUAAAUGACACAGAAUAUGCGCAGGAUUAUGCAAAGGACGAACAUGGUACAGAUGUGUCAAACAGCCAAAACAAAUGUUUACAAAAUAAUACCAAUAACAACAACAUAAGAAGUAGUUGUCUUAUAGAUGCACACGAUGAACAGAAAUUAUUAAUAGAAAGAAAUUAUAUAAAUACAGAAGUCGUCCAAAAAUGUGAUAACACAAAAUACGAAAGUACCAAUAUAUCUUCAAACGAAUGUGAUGAAGAAAAAAAAAAAACAAUUAUAGAUAAAACUAAAAAAAUAAAAAAAAUGAAAAAAAUAAAUGAAGAACAUACGAAUAGUAGUGGAGCAAAUGAAAAAGAAAGCAACAGUAGGAAUAAACAAAUACAGGAUACAAAUCAUGAAGAAAUGACUAACUUAGAGGUUAUUGAUACAUGUUCAGAGGUAGAACAUAACCAUAAAAAUUGUUUAUCAAAUGGCUUACCAAAUAACUUAUCAAAUGGCUUAUCAGAUAACUUAUCAGAUAACUUAUCAGAUAACUUAUCAAAUAACUUACCAAAUAACUUACCAAAUAACUUACCAACAGAUUUACCAACUGAUUUAUCAACUGAUUUACCAACUGAUUUACCAAAUGGUUUACAAAAUAUCCCACAAAAUGAUGCCACUCGAAAUACAUUAAAAAUGCAAGAUUAUUCAAACACAAACAAACAGGUUAAACAUGAUAUACAAGUUACUACUACAUUAGAUACUAUGGAAGAUGCUACUCCUAUUAUUACUAACACUACUACGACCCAAAAAAGAGAAACAAAAAGUCUUUAUACAAAAACAUCAAACG